rnacentral:rRNA from 1 species
GAUUACUGGGCGUAAGGGUACGCAGGCGGCUUUGUAAGUCAGAUGUGAAAGACUAUGGCUUAACUGUGGUAAGCAUUUGAAACUACAGAGCUUGAGUACAGGAUGGGAGAGUGGAAUUCCUAGUGUAGCGGUGAAAUGCGUAGAUAUUAGGAGGAAUACCAGUGGCGAAGGCGACUCUCUGGACUGUAACUGACGCUGAGGUACGAAAGCAUGGGGAGCAAACAGGAUUAGAUACCCUGGUAGUCCAUGCUAUAAACGAUGAGUGCUAGGUGUUGGGAAGGACACCUCUCGGUGCCGAAGUUAACACAUUAAGCACUCCGCCUGGGGAGUACGGUCGCAAGACUGAAACUCAAAGGAAUUGACGGGGACCCGCACAAGCAGCGGAGCAUGUGGUUUAAUUCGAUGCAACGCGAAGAACCUUACCAGGGCUUGACAUCCUUCAGCCAGGGCUAGAGAUAGCCCCUUCCCUUCGGGGACUGAGGAGACAGGUGGUGCAUGGUUGUCGUCAGCUCGUGUCGUGAGAUGUUGGGUUAAGUCCCGCAACGAGCGCAACCCUUGUCUUUAGUUGCAAACAGCUAGGCUGUGCACUCUAAAGAGACUGCCGAUGACAAAUCGGAGGAAGGUGGGGAUGACGUCAAAUCAUCAUGCCCUUUAUGUCCUGGGCUACACACGUGCUACAAUGGUCGGUACAACGGGAAGCGACCUCGUGAGAGUGAGCAAAUCCUAUAAAGCCGAUCCCAGUUCGGAUUGUAGGCUGCAAUUCGCCUACAUGAAGCCGGAGUUGCUAGUAAUCGCGGAUCAGCAUGCCGUG